rnacentral:rRNA from 1 species
UAGGGAAUCUUCGGCAAUGGGGGGAACCCUGACCGAGCAACGCCGCGUGAGUGAAGAAGGUUUUCGGAUCGUAAAGCUCUGUUGUUAAGGAAGAACGAGUGUGAGAAUGGAAAGUUCAUACUGUGACGGUACUUAACCAGAAAGGGACGGCUAACUACGUGCCAGCAGCCGCGGUAAUACGUAGGUCCCGAGCGUUGUCCGGAUUUAUUGGGCGUAAAGCGAGCGCAGGCGGUUAGAUAAGUCUGAAGUUAAAGGCAGUGGCUCAACCAUUGUAGGCUUUGGAAACUGUUUAACUUGAGUGCAGAAGGGGAGGGUGGAAUUCCAUGUGUAGCGGUGAAAUGCGUAGAUAUAUGGAGAAACACCGGUGGCGAAAGCGGCUCUCUGGUCUGUAACUGACGCUGAGGCUCGAAAGCGUGGGGAGCGAACAGG